rnacentral:ncRNA from 1 species
CAGAGUAGGUUUGCACGCGUUAAGUGCCGCCCGAACGGGGAGUUGUCGGGCGGACGAAAAGAGGUUUCUUGCGAUGUGCACGCCGCAUCCCGCUGU